GUUAACCUUCUUAGAUUUUUUUUGGUUCCGUCCACCACCUCCCCUCCGCUGGUUUUAGCGUCACGACAGAACCAAUCCCUCGCUAGCCCUACCUCCUCUCCCGUCUCCAGUCGCAGCCGCCGCCGGCGCCGCACCCCAAUCCAACCCCGCCGCCGGCGAUCUCCUCGCCCCCCUGUGCCGUCGCCCCCAACCUUCUAUUCCUCUCCCAAGGCAUAGGAAGGGAAGGCAAGGCAAGGGAAGGGAGAGGGAGCGCUCAGAUCCACGGCGGCAUCAGCGCGCCGUCCUCGACCUGAUCCGCGUCCGUCCACGGAUGGGAGCCGGCGCAGGAAAUCCCCGUCCCCGCGUCCGAGCCCCGCUACCCUCCGCAACGGCUCGACCGCCCAUCGACGCGCUGCCCCCGCGGCGCCCGACCAGUUCGGCUUUCGCGGCUGGUGGACGCGCCCUUGCUGUUGCCGACGCCGGCUCGCUGCGCCGCACUGGCCCUCACAAGCGUCUUCUGUCAAUGAUGGACUUGAGAGGUCAAGGAGUUUCCAUUGGGACAUCGGGACAUGCUCCUCCAUCUCCUCCGGUGGACGACAUCCAACAUCGCCAGGUAGAUUACUGUUUUUGCAAAUUCCAGUUCUUGAUGUUUAAAACUGGAUGAUCUGCACCCAACCCCUCUAUUGUUCUAUUUCUGCUUAAAUCUGAUUUGGUUGUUCAGUUCAUGCACUUAUGGACUGAAGAAAAAAAUGGAAAUGAAGAAGAAAAGAAUAGCAAUAUUAUCAUAUGCGAGGUUUGCUUUUAACCUUGGUUCCUAACCAAUAUUUGCUUCAUAAUUCUGCCGAGAGAUUCACACUGUCAUUCAUAUUAUGAAUAUAGUUCAUAACCAGUAUUCUCUUUUAUCUAAUUAUAUGUACAGAAAGGAGUAAUCUGAAGUGAAUUCAUGCUAUGUUAACAGUCUAACAAACAUCUUGGAGGUGUGAAUGCUUUCUUGGGUCUGACAAGUAAUCAAUAAUUGAUGGUAUACUGGGAUUUUUCUCAUACUUCUAGCACUUCCUCAUUGACAAUAAAGCAAGUAGUAUCACAACAAAGGCUAUCCAGGUAUUUUUUUUCAACUAUAAUCCUUCCAGCUUUAGGGACUGCUCAAUUGGAUCUGCACAAUCCAACAAAAUAAAUGUGCAUAGUCUCUGCGACACUUUCAUCCGAUCAUCACGAAGGUAGUUGUAGGAGUAAAAAAGUAUGUCAUACUGUUUUUUCAGUUCAAGCCAAAAGGCUAGGACAGGUAAUACUUGUUUUUACAGUACUUGUGCAAAAAGUAUGUCAUACUGUUUGCUCUAGAUGAUUUUGAUGAAUUUUACAACCUUAUUUUCAGUUGUUUACAGGUCUGCUUUCAUGGGGUUUAUUGAAUCCAGGAAAGAACUGUGAGUAGUAGCGAACCAGACAUGAAAAGUUUCAGAGAACUACGAAAACUCCGGUCAGUUUUGUCGGUAUCUUGUGACACAGUUCCAGGACUCUAUUGACUAAGGAAAUGAUAUAUAUGUGUGAUUUAUCCUGUUAAAACUUUUAGUGUUCACUUAGGGGUGAGUGCAACCAGUAACUGAAUUUAGACUACGAACUAGAGUAUGACAGUAAAGUCAGGAGCAUGAUGGAGAACACACGGGACAUUGAGGACUAAUGGUCAACACUUAAAUCUUGCUUUACAUACAGUUCAGUUCCAAGUAGUCUGAUACAUAGAUGGCGAGGGGAGUGCUGAUUUGGGGUUGAUUUUGGUAAUUGUAUAUUUUCCUUGAUGACUGUCAUUUUGUUGUCCUACAUGUGCUAUAUGAUAUGCAUAACAACUUGAGAGCACCUUUGCUUCUCUUGAUGUGCUUCGUCAUACAGUUUUUUAAAGUGCACAAGCAAGCUUGCGAGUGAUGACAACUACUAUGACCUACAACCUUGAAUCUAGGUUUUUGGGGUUGAACAUAGGGGCACAGCGCGCUCUCCCAUCUAACCAGUGAAGCGUAAUGAAGGAAAAGCUACAAUAUACAAAUCGUCACCGUCAUUCAGUUUGUCCAAAACUGAGAAAAGCUCUUUAAAAAAACUGGGAAAAGCUCACGUGAUGGAAUGAGAUGAGAUUUCAACAUCAUGAUUGCGUUUUAUAAUUUGAACGACCAAAGUAGAUGGUCCCGUCAGCCCGUGUUUGACAAUAUGAAGGGACAAACUUGUUGAUCCAUUAUUUUGCCAGGAAAAUACAAUAAUUCGGAGGGCUUAAAUAUGGAUAAUAGAUCUGACAUAAUCUAGCAAGGUGAGUGACUCAAUUGCACAUGUGCAAAAUGGAAGUUUAAACUUCCUUGAAUCUCUUGUAGGGUUUGGGGGAGAUUGUCAGCGAGCCACUGAUGAAAGUCCUUUUGCGAUGACAAUGCUAGAGAAGAUUUGAAAGAUCUUGGUUGGCGUGGGGCAACUUGUGUAUUCCUGGAUGGGGGCGCCGUCCGGUGGCAGUGGGGUGUGGCAGUUGCCGCAGCUGGGCACAACCGGGAGUCCACCUAUCCAGAACACCCAACUAUUUCAUCCGGUGAACUGCGAAGAGCUUCUAUAAUUAGCACAAAUCUGAAAGCAUAUAUGCAGCUCCCAGAUGUUGCAGGCUAGAGGAAGGGCAGGCACUCAUGCGAUACCAUGUAUCUGGUAGUGGUUUCGUUCCCCAGACGCUAUGCAUUUAUUGUCUGGUUGGACGCGCCGGGUGUGGGGACACUGCAGGACAUGUUUGAUUAUCAUGUCAGUGAAUUCUGGCGAGAAUGAACCAAGUGAGCUUUUGUAGCUGGUCUAUUCAAAAUGGAUGAACGGACCAGUUAGUGUACAUAUAAGUUUGCACUCUGUCUUCCUGCUCAUUCGUGCAAUGUGUUCAUGGGAGACUUAUUUUAGGAAAACAUAAAAUAAUUUUUCUUUCUGUGCGUACUACUCCAGCUUUCAAGUGCCAGGCUUCAAUAAAUCUGAAAUUUCUAUCGCUC